CCGCGGAGCCCGCGCAGGCGCACUGGCCAAUGUAAGCGGAGUACAGCUCCUCGGCUUCCGCGUAUUCGCCCUUCUGGAAGUGAGCUUGGGCGAGCGUCAGGGCUGCGUGGUUUUGUCGCCCUUGCCGCGCAUCCAUAGCGCCCGAAGGUUCGGCUUUUUGUGUAGAAAAGGCGGUUGGCUUCUCUGGGCGGCGGCACCACAGCCACUUCCGCGCUCCCGGAAUGGAACCUGACGGCAAACCUCGGCGCUAGCAGAGGGGGAAGAAGUGUGUGCCUCCCGGGGACCCGUCGUCUCGCGAGAUGAACCGCUGGGGGCGGGCGCGGAGCUCGGGCGGCCGGGGAGGCUUGGCCGGUUCCCCUGCGGCCUGGUUCUCUUCUGCCCGCCGGCUCUGCCCGCCUCCUGUUCCGAAAGCGGUAGAUGGACGGACCCCAGCUGGUUUCGAGGUCCGUGGGCGGGAGUUACGGAGAGCUCGUCCUUGGUUACGGCGCCCACUCGUAACACGACUCUACCCGCGAGGACGAGCCGGGUGGGCAGCGGGUGCCCCCAGCGGGUGCCACCGCCGAAGCCCCGCAUGUAUCCCUGCAUGAGCUCCAGGAGCCUGCACUGCACACCGCAGUCCUGGCGUAGGGUCAGGGUCCGUUGAACACUUUGUGCCGACAGUCCGGCCUGUCGCGUUAGUUCCCGUUCCCUGGCCGGGAAUGCCCAAGGGAAACCCGGAGAGUCCUUAAGUACACUGUGUCUAGGAAUUAUGUAAAGAGAGGAGAUUAAGAGAACAGUUUCAGGAGUAAAAUAUUCAGGAAUUAACCAAGAACUGAAAGAUCUGUACAACGGAAACUACAAAACUAACAAAUGGAAAGACGCCCCCAUGUUCAAGGGACCUACAGAUUCAGUGGAAUCCAUUUCAAAAAUCCCAAUGAUGUUUUUACAGAAGUAGAAAAAAAAAAAAAAAACCCAUCCUGAAUUAAUAGGGAAUUUCAAUGGGACCCAAACGGCCAAAACAGUUCUGAAAAUAACAGAGUACUCACUUCCUGACUUCAAAACCUAACUGCAAAGCUACAGCAAUCAAAACGCUAUGGUGUUACCAUAAGUACAGUCUUUUCAAUAAAUGUUACUGGAAAAACGAUAUCCACAUGCAAAAGUAUAAAGUUGGACAGAAACACCCUAUAAAAAAUUAACUCCAAAUAGAUUAAAAACUUAAACAUAAGAAGUGAAACAGAAAAUUCUUAGAAAAAAACAUAAGGCAACAGCUUUGUGACAUUGGAUUUGGCAACUUCUUGAAUAGACCCCAAAGGCAAAACAAACUGGGCUCCCUGAAAAUUUAACUUUUGUUGCAUUAAAAGACUGUAAACAGUACGAAGACAACCCAGAGUGGGAGAAAAUAAUCUACAAAUCAUAUGCCUGAUAAGGGAAACUGAGAUGUUGGGCUGGUGUCAUCCAUCUACUGUUAAGACACAGAAAGGAUUCUGACAUGGUGUGUCUGUCCCACUUAACAAGCCCUGGUCUGUAGGACACUGGAGGGCCUGCCCUGUGAUUUUGGAGCUGGGCUAGGCUCAGUUGCUGUGCCUCCCUGACUCUCACAUCCAUCUUCAUGGAGUCCUGCACAUGGUGCUUUGCCUGGGGGUGGCAUCAACAAGCCUCCCCUUUGCCAGCUCACCCAGAAAUAUGGCAGCAACAAGGUGAUCUCCUGAAAGUGUUCUGUUCCCCUGCAACCUCAUACUGUCAAGUGCUGCAUAAAGUGUGGCCACACCAACCACCCACGCCCUCAGAGUAAAGUCAAAUAAGGUCCCUCCUUGGGUUCCUCCUUCCCCUGCAGGGCAGCCUCUUGCCUGAGCCCCAUGGCCCUGGGGCCUCAGUAAAGCUUUGCUUUAGUUGACUAAAGCAGUGAAAAAAAUACAGACACAUACACACCCACAUACAUCUACUGUCCCCCUCCGCCCCCCCGAAUAUAUAGAGAACUUCUAAAACUCAACUUUUCCAGAGCAGGUCUACUAUUUUGCAUUUGCAUCAACAGUGUAUAAGGGUUUCAGUUGUUUCAUUCGCUUACCAAUACUUGGCAGUUUUAAUUUUAGCUAUUAGAGGAUGUGUGAGCAUAUUCCAUUUUUCUCUGGAUUUUAUGAACUAGAAAUUUAAGCUAUGGCAAUAAGAAGCGAGUAGUUAAAUAAAAUAUUAACUCUCAGCCUCUUCAUGUCUACUUUUUCUUUUAAUUUUAGAGAAAUUUCUUAAGAAUAGCUUGUCAUGAAGAAAACUUACAAUAAUUUCUUCAGUUUGACCAGGUUUUUCUUCUAAAUUCAACUAAACUUUACAUUAAUGCCUCUCAUUUUAAAGAGGUUAUUAAAAUCAUUUUUACUUCUCAUCUCUCAUAAAUGCUCUAUAUACUUUUGUAGUUUUCUACCAUGGACAUAUGUUACUCCUCCAAAAAUAGGUUUAUUCUCAAAAAAUAAGCAUUAAUUUCUUAAAAAAAUUAUUUGAGAAUAAUUGUAAGAAUAGACAACACAAUAGAGGGCAACAUAAUAUUGCCAUUUUCCUUUUUUUUUUUUUUUUGCCAUUUUCAUUUUAGAAACUCAGGAGCAAUAUCUUAGAGCUAUAACAUUAUCAAGCACUUCAGAUACUCUCUUGAAAGUCUGGUAAAAUAAUUUCCCCCCAACCUCUACAUGAGAACUCUGCAUGGCUUCUAGAGUAAUUCACUGCAACUUCUAGUCAUCUGACAUUUGCCUAGUACCUUCCUAAGUGGUCUUUUCUGUUUGGUAGCAAAAAAAAAAAAAAAAAAAUGACAUUAUACAUCUACUGGACCUCCUUGUCCCUUACUCUCCUCCACUCUGAAGCCUAACACCCUCCUAAUCAAUCCCCACCAAAAUAUUUAAAUAUUUAAAUCAAACCCAAACAAAUACCAUGCUAUCCGUAAGUUAUAGGUAAAGGAAACUGGAAAUAAAUACAAGCAUUUUUACCUCAAUACUCAUUAUUUUUUCUGGUUUUUGUUUUGUUUUUUUUACUUAGUGCCACAUGAAACCUAAAAUCUCAGCUCUCGAAAUACAAAAAGAUCAUUCAAAGUGUAUUUUAGUGGGAUGCCCGGGUGUCUCAGUGGUUGAGCCUUUGGCUCAGGUCAGGGCAUGAUCCCCGGGUCCUUGGAUUGAGCCCCACAUCAGGCUCCUCUCGGGAAGCCUGCUUUUCCCUCUGCCUAUUGUCUCUGCCUCUCUGUGUGUCUCUCAUGAAUAAAUAAAUAAAAUCUUCUAAAAACAAACAGAAAAAACCUAAAAUGUAUUUUAGCAAAAAGAUGUGUAAUAAAGUCAUUUGUGUAUGAUAGCAGGUCAACAAUGUUAUAUUGCUUGUUAAGCAUGUUAUCACUAUAAACUUCAUCAGUUGGUCCCAUCAUCUCCAUACUUUGGCCUACCAAAGUAUUUUGAAACUCUGAAAUGUAAUAUAAUUCUACUUUGAAACUUCACAUAAUUCAGGCCAAGUUUUAUGAUAAAGAACAACUCAGCAUGACUUAAAUGGAAUCCUUACAGGUUUCUUACAGGAAAAGAACAUAAUUGUUUCAUUAUACUGUCUUCAGUAUAUGCAUCAUUCUGUCCAACUUCUUCCCAAGUAUUUGCUACAUAUAGAUAAUUUUGCUUCUCUUUACUCCUUUCAUCAGGAAAGAGUUUGUUUUUGUUGUUAUACUAAAAUUAUCUUCAGGAUGAAGAAACCAAAUUAGGUCAAUUCAUACUAUGGAUCUUUCCUUAGUAUGUUUAAGCAAGACAAAGGUCCUCAAGAUAUUAUGGCAGAUUACGAAAACUUUCAGAAAUAUAAAUCCCAAACAGGCAUAAGCUCUCACAAUAGUAGAAAAGAUAUAUCUGUAUAUAUGUGUUUUUACAUGUAUGUAUACACAAUCUACAUAUGUGAUAAUUAGGUAUACAACGUAUAAUGGUUGUUUUCAGGGAUUGUGGAUUGAAUUAAGCUGAAUAAAAAGUAGAGGAACUCAGGAUCUACCUGAAAUAAUUCGUUGGAAGAAAAAGUCUAGAGUUCAAGCAACAUGGAAUUAGUGGCAAACGAGAAGGCUCUAAAAGGAGAGUUCCCAAAAGAUAUGUUAGGAAAAGUUUGAGGAGCCAACAGCUGAUUUUGGAAUGAAAACGACAGGCAGUAUAUUAACAAGCACAGUAAGGUCUAGAGGAGUGACAAUCUAAGUGAGUUCUCAGCUGAUUCCUGGGAUAGGAAAGGAAAAGUGAAAGAAGAUAUAUCAGGAAUUAGACCACGGACUAAGAAUCACAACUCUGAACAUCAGUCCUGCAUCUUUCAUUGAUGAAGUGGAGAAUAAUUUUAUUCUGAAAACAAAGUCUUAUAAAAAGAUCCAAACCUGAGCAAAUAAUCGUGGUAACGCAGUGCUAGAGUCUGGCCCGCAGCUGCAAAAUGAAAGGACACAGUUCAUGGGAAUAAAGUGGAGAACACUAUUAGCUACAUAAAACAGUUCCUCUGUAUUCAUUACUGCCUCAAGUUCCCAGUUGCCUCCCAGGCAAAAGGUAUAAAUCAUGAGCCAAUAGUCAAAGCUGAGAUAAAAUCUGUACCAUAAAAGAAAAAGAAGGCCAGCAGAGGCACCUAUUAUGGUCAGAUGCAAGAGCUGCCAUAGAUAUAAUGACAGAAACACAUAUAAGUAAGAUUUACCCAACUGGCAUGACUCCCAAGGAUAAUAAUGCCCAAAGGACAUCAUAUUAAUUACCUGGGUUUUUUUUAGGGGAGUGGGGACCAUCUGUGGUUGAUAUAUGCCCUAAUUUCUCUUUUUCCCCCUCUUGUUUUCCAUUCUAUUAGUAAUAUACUCUUGAGCAUAUGUUAAACCUCUGGGUUAUAGGAACAACUGUUUCUUUUUUAGUUUUUUUUUAAUCCCUUAAUUCUUUAGUGUAUUUCCUAAGAAGACAUUCUCUUUCAUAACCAUAUUACAAAUUAGGGAACUUAACAAUGAUACAAUGUUAUUAUCUAAUGCCAGUCCAUAUUCAAAUUUUAUCAAUUGUCCAAAUAGUGUCCUUUAUUGGGACGCCUGGGUGGCUCAGUGGUUGAACAUCUGCCUUUGGCUCAGGGCGUGAUCCUAGGGUCCCGGAAUUGAGUCCCACAUCGGGCUCCCUGCAGGGAGCUUGCU